GCGUGUCGCUCUUCUUGCUUGUUGUUCUCUAUCACUACGUGGCCGUCAACAAUCCCAAGAAGCAGGAAUGAAAGUGGCGCUUUCUCCGCCCCAGGGUUCCAGGACAUAGUCUGAGGCAAGAUGGAGGGUAUGAGGGGCCUUCACACUUCACUUCAUCCCUUCUACCCAUCACAACAUACAAAGCAACUACACCUGGAUUUUUCCAAACAACUUUUAUUUCCUCAAAGUCUUCCUUAAUCCUAUGGAACAAGAAGCUGCCACUGAAUAGGGCCCAGUAUAGGGGCUUGCUUUUCUACUCCCUCCCCCCAAUAUAAAAAUAUAGAUUUUUUUUUGUGGUCCCAAAA